UAUGUGCUGGAAUGCUUUAUGCGUCAAACGGAUUCGUCUGCCCAAGGAUGGGUCUGCGGCCUAUCAGGUAGUAGUGGGUGUAAUGUACCUACUAGCCGACAACGGGUACGGGUUGUGAGAGCAAGAGCCCGGAGAUGGAUUCUGAGACAUGAAUCCAGGCCCUACGAGGCGCAGCAGGCGCGAAAACUUUACAAUGCGGGAAACCGUGAUAAGGGGACACCGAGUGCCAGCAUCAUAUGCUGGCUGUCCGGGUGUGUAAAAUACACCUGUUAGCAAGGGCCGGGCAAGACCGGUGCCAGCCGCCGCGGUAACACCGGCGGCCCGAGUGGUGAUCGUGAUUAUUGGGUCUAAAGGGUCCGUAGCCGGUUUGGUCAGUCCUCCGGGAAAUCUGAUAGCUCAACUAUUAGGCUUUCGGGGGAUACUGCCAGACUUGGAACCGGGAGAGGUAAGAGGUACUACAGGGGUAGGAGUGAAAUCUUGUAAUCCCUGUGGGACCACCUGUGGCGAAGGCGUCUUACCAGAACGGGUUCGACGGUGAGGGACGAAAGCUGGGGGCACGAACCGGAUUAGAUACCCGGGUAGUCCCAGCCGUAAACGAUGCUCGCUAGGUGUCAGGCAUGGCGCGACCGUGUCUGGUGCCGCAGGGAAGCCGUGAAGCGAGCCACCUGGGAAGUACGGCCGCAAGGCUGAAACUUAAAGG
rnacentral:rRNA from 1 species